UGGAGAAAUUAACAGCGUAUGAAAACGGAGGCGGGAGAAUAAAAAAAAAAACGAGGUAGAAGCUGAAGCCGUAGUCGGUGUCAAGCGGAAGGAAACGAACGAGGGCAGACACUCAUUCCCUUCAUUACCCCCAUCAUUAUCCUUUUGUUCACUUACCUUCCCUUCAGUCCCCAGUCGCCCUUCAUUCAUUUAUCACCUUCUCUUCAUUUACUCACUCAUGCUUUCACUGCCCCAUCAUCCUACCUGUCAUCCUUGGCACCUCAUCACCCCAUCAUCCUUUCUUUCACCCAGUCAUCCUACCUGUCACUGCUCGUCGCCUCCCCUCUUCCCCUUGCCCUUCAGAUGGACACAGGUGCUCGGGGGCGUCGUUACAAGCACCUGGCGGAGUGUUCACGUGACCUUGGACUGGCGGCGGCGCGGUGUGAAGCGAUUUCAGCAUUACGACACCGGACGCUUCGUGGAGAAACGCAACGCACACACACGCGCGCCAUCCGGAGUGACCAGCGUGCGCGGUGACGAAGAACAGUUGCAGUGGUGUCGCGAGCUGCUUCAAAACAAUGAUGAUGCGGUGUUCAAUCCCACAAGUUCAUACAAAGGAAGAUUACAACGCUGGCAUAAACUGUUGGUGUGGAGCUUCAUGAGUGACUCCCAGACAUACUUCCCGUGAUGGAUGGCACAAUAAACUGGCUGUGUGAAAGAGGUAUUAGACAGCAGCUUCUUCAGGGACCUGCCAGCUUUUACUGUGACAUCUCAGUGUGUGGCGACUGUGCCCUUCAAUUCAGGCUCCAUAAGGGUCGUCCAGCAUCCAGGAUCCAUCCAGCAGUGCACACACACACACACACACACACGCUCACAGUAUUCAAACAGAUUUUGCAGUCAUUCACCAUCACUAGUUAGUUUAUUUUUUGUCAAUUAAAAAGUAUUUUUAGAAUGAAAAAAAUGAUUUAGUUUAUUUUUUGUCAAUUAAAAAAGUAUUUUUAGA